CAGCAGCUCAGAGCAGCAAGGUUCUCUUGGAGAUGAUCUUGUUCUACAUGCGGGCUGAGACCCAGAGGAGCCAAAGGCACGUGGCAGAGCACCUCUGGCCCUUGACCCCUGCCGGUGACCUCAGGGAGGCUCCGGCACCCUUCACAGACCAAGGGAGGGGGUGUAUGCCGAGCUCUGUUCAAGACACAGCGAGAGGAAGAAGCAGCCCCGCUCUCGGCACUGCGGACACGAGUACCGAGCGCCUGAGCUCCUCCAGCCCCGCAGGGCUGGGCUCGCUACCCGCUCGCACAGGCGGGAGUUCGGCGCAGGGACGCCGAGGGUCUGCAGGACGCGGCACCGCGGGAAGCAGGCGGCUCCUCCGGCACCUGACUGCCCCGCCCAGGCUCCGGCCCCGGGCUCUGAACCUCUGCUACCCGCCCGGUCGCGCGUCGCCGGGCCCAUCGCGCCGCGGGGUGGCGCGUUUCACUGCCUAUUGGCACAGCUUCCAGCCCCCCCGCAGCCACCCACGCCUUGCGCUCGCUGCCGAAGCCAGGAUGUUGUCCUGGUGACUCCCGGCUCCGUCCCCAGAGCCCUGACAGCCUGGCAGCUGUCACGCCCCGGGCACAGCAGCCCAGGGGAAAGGCGAAGAUCUCCUCGCAAGAGAGACGGUGCGCUUCAUAAUUCCUGCUGAGACGACACGCUUCCCCCGCCCUCGCCUGCCGUCCGAGUCCCUCCGCCACUGGGAGGCCGAUUCAAGCAGCCAGCUGACAGCCGCGCUGAUGUAAAAAUAGAGAGAACAUUCCAGUACCCAGCCAGGUCCAAGGUGGGAAUGGAAUGAGAGAAAGUGAGAAGCUGCAGCCCAUGUCACACUCCCGCCUCAGAGCCCAGGCUGCACCCCAUCAGGGCCAGGACUGCCCUGCCCCCCUCCUGCCUGGGACCACCAAUCUGCCUGGUUGCCACACCAGCCGCAGCAGCUCCCAAGCUCCGGUGCCCAUUUCACUGAGCAUCUGCAGGCCAUGAACCUCUAGCCUCCCCACUUCACCUGCUGCUGCCUACUCACCUUCAAAGUACCUCGACCACCCUGGCUCAGGAGGCCAACCCCCUUAGCUUCUUCUGUACUGUCACACCCCACGCCUCUCUUGCAGCCCAUGCUAAAUGGACAGGCUUGCAUUGUUGUUUGAUGAAUUCUGUUUCCCAUUCUGCACUGAGGGCUCCCUGAGGCUGAGACCUGGACUCUUCAGCUGGCCUCUUUGUCUCCCAGCACGGUGCCUGCACAUAGUAGGUGCCCAGUAAAAGUUUGAGUAGAUCAGCAAACUUAUAGCUGCAGGUGUGCCAACGAGCAGGGUAAGAGUGGAGUGACAGAGUUCUGGGUGCUUUUGGAAAAUGAGCUAAAGGAUAAUCAAGACUAGGGACUUCCCUGGUGGUGCAGUGCUUAAGAAGCCACCUGCCAGUGCAGGAGACACGGCCUCGAUCCCUGGUCCAAGAAGAUCCCACAUGCCGCAGAGCAACUAAGCCUGUGUGCCACAACUACUGAGCCAGUGCUCUGGAGUCCACGAGCCACAACUACUGAAGCCCGCGCCCUAGAGCCCGUGCUCCGCAACAAGAGAAGCCACAGCAACGAGAAGCCGGCGCACCGCAACGAAGAGUAGCCCCGCUCGCCACAACUGGAGA